CACACCCCAAUUUGUCGACUAUUUUUUCGUAAUAUUUCCCAAACUUAUUUUACCACUCCAUUCUGCGUACGUUCGCCCUGCACUUCCCGCUGGCGACCGCCGCCCUCGGCCUUCUCUCCAGCUUCACGGCUACUCAACCCUCUCUCUUUCCAUCUCUCUACUGCCCUACCUCCUCAUUUUCUCACCGUUUUAACAAUCGCCGGUGCCUUCUCCGGCCGCGUCCACGUUUCCGCAGAACAAUUAAUGUGUAAGAAGAAAGCGGCAAUUCUUGCUAGACGCUCCUUAAUAGCACUAUAUACUGCACGAUCUUCAUGUAGCUCUUCAGUCUCUCACAAAGCCCUCAAUCUAGUAAGAAAUUUAAGUAUUGCUUCUGAAAGAGAGGAGUGUCAGGAUGAUAAUGGAUAUCAUGCAGAUAAUUCUUUGCGGAGUUACCAAACCCAUGGUGGAUCUGUUAGCAGUUACAACCAAAGCCCUGGCUACUAUCAGCAUCAUGCCCAAAGUACUAGUUUGCAAUCUAGGCCUCAUCAAGACAUUUUAGAUGGGUUUUAUACAGGAAACUCCUUGCAGGGGCCGGACAGGCCAUCCACUAGUUCGGCUUAUAGGCAAAAACCUGGUAGCAGUUUUGCAAAUACUUCUCAUAUGCAUGAAAUUGCUAGUAGAUCUUAUGGACAACACUAUAGUGGAAUGCCUCCUAAUUCUUGUGGCUUUAAUGAGAACCAUCAUGAGGCUUGUAGAGAAACCUAUCAAAAUACUCACCAUACCAGCCCAGUGGCUCCAAAUGGUAAUUUUAUUGAAAAUGGCUAUAAUGGAGUGGUGGCUCAAGAUCAUAAUAGUUACAACGGAAAUACUCCAAGAAAUUUUGUUGAAAUCAGUAAUAAUGUAGUUCGUGAAGUUGAUAGGUCUACGUCUCCGAAUAAUCAACUCGGGCCUAGAGAAAUUUUUUCUGCAUAUAAUGGAUAUGGAUAUAGCAAUGAAGCAACACAGCAAAACAUUUAUGGGAUUUCUGGACAGAAUUCAUGGGGCACGUGGAGAGAAUCCAAACAAUAUUUACAUGGCACUGGCCUAAAACAUCACAAUCCUAUGUCAGGACCAAACAAUCACAUACCACUCUCUAGACAGUAUGAGCAAAACUCUAUUCCUCAGCAAUAUCCACAGGGACAAUAUCAUCAAGGUUCUAGUGUUGAACAAUAUCAGCCAAACCCAGAUACUAAUCAGAACUACAUGAUCGGUAAUCAGGUAUUAUACAACGUUAAUGCUAAUGAGGAAAUUGGAAAGACUAGGGAUCGCCAGCAGGGUGGUCCCCUUGAGAAGCUUGACGAAUUUUGCAAGGAAGGUAACUUGAAGGAGGCUGUGGAAAUUUUGGAAGUGUUAGAGAAACAACAUAUUCCUGUUGAUCUAUCUCGGUAUUUAGAUUUGAUGAAUGCAUGUGGGGAAGCGAGGUCCCUAGAAGAAGCCAAAGCUGUUUGUAAUUAUGUAAUAAAAUCUCAAACCCAUGUAAAAGUUAGCACCUAUAACAAAAUUUUGGAGAUGUACUCUAAAUGUGGUUCCAUGGAUGAUGCAUAUACGAUAUUCAAUAAAAUGCCUAGCCGCAACAUAACAUCUUGGGAUACUAUGAUUACGUGGCUUGCGAAGAAUGGCCUAGGAGAAGAUGCUAUUGAUCUUUUUUACGAGUUCAAAAAAGCUGGGUUGAGGCCUGAUGGAAAAAUGUUUAUUGGAGUUUUCUCUGCAUGUAGUGUCUUGGGAGAUGUUGAUGAGGGGAUGUUGCACUUCGAAUCAAUGACAAAGAAUUAUGGCAUUACUCCUUCCAUGCAUCAUUAUGUUAGUAUAGUAGACAUGCUUGGAAGUACAGGAUUUGUAGAUGAAGCUUUGGAGUUCAUUGAAAAGAUGCCAUUGGAGCCUGGGGUAGACAUUUGGGAAACAAUGAUGAAUAUCGCUAGAGCUCAUGGGUUGAUGGAACUUGGUGAUCGUUGCUUUGAGCUUGUUGAGCAUCUUGAUCCUUCUCGCUUAAAUGAGCAGUCAAAAGCUGGCCUUCUACCUAUAAAAGCUUCUGACCUUGAAAAAGAGAGAGAGAAGAAAAAAUUAGCUAAUCGGAAUCUUUUAGAAGUGAGGAGCCGAGUACAUGAAUAUCGAGCUGGAGAUACUUCUCAUCCUGAGAAUGACAGGAUCUAUACCUUGCUUAGGGGUUUGAGGGAACAAAUGAAGGAGGCUGGUUACAUACCAGAGACUCGUUUUGUACUCCAUGAUAUAGAUCAGGAAGCCAAAAAUGAUGCUCUACUUGGUCAUAGUGAGAGACUUGCUGUUGCAUAUGGUCUAAUCAGUAGCUCAGCCCGGUCACCCAUAAGAGUAAUUAAGAACCUUCGUGUUUGUGGUGAUUGCCAUAGUGCACUAAAGAUAAUUUCGAAAAUUGUGGGUCGAGAACUCAUCAUCCGCGAUGCUAAGAGAUUUCACCAUUUUAAAGAUGGAUUAUGCUCCUGCCGUGAUUAUUGGUGAAGAAAAUGGAAGUUGAGAAAAAGUUACCAAAGACUACAACAUCACAUUAUGAUGUCAACAACUGAACGUUUCGAAAUCUUAAACUCCCAACGGCAGCUUUCUUUUGAGCUCCCACAGAAGUCAAAACAAACUGCCGAGAGCAAAACCUUGGCACACAAAUCCGGUUCUCCCAAAAUGGUUCAGACUUUGCAACUUGAGCAACAUCUACUUUUGGAACCAACAACACAACAAAUAGACAAAACCAGCUGUUUCCUUGAAACAAGCUAGUUCUUUGCCUUGAGAAAAUAGCAAUUUAAAAAGGUAACACUAGGGCGUUCUAGUUCAUAUCAUCUUCUCCCCUUUUCGAAGGAUUCGUCCUCAAAUCAAGCUUGUUAUUUGCAUCAAAAGGAGUUAAGGUCGAUACACUACAAGAAGGGGGCAGGCCGACGCAGAGAUACGUUGGCAAAAGCCAAGAAUGUGUCGGGAGAGGCUAUGUCGACGUGUGGAAAUGGAUGCCGGCAAGAACAUUGUGAGAGGCUCUUCUGAUGCGCUAAUAGGCUGGCGUUGGCAAAGGGUUACUACUGAUGCAGUGUUUGCUGACAUGGUCAACACGUUGGCAUUGGGGAACUGUCGAUGUUUAGUAGCGACGUCGCAAAUAGGUUACUGUCGAUGUUGUCAAGUAUGUCUACGUACAUGAACCACCGACGCAACGUCGGCAGACCUAACGAUGCCGCGUCGUCAGAAAGACCAAUUGCAACGCAUAAUAUGUGUUGUGAAAUCUUUAUUAUAAUAUUUUUUUAAAAAAUUUUCUUUUAUUUAA